AAUCAACGCUGGCGGCGUGCCUAACACAUGCAAGUCGAACGAGAAGGUGACUUCGGUCACUGGAUAGUGGCGUCCGGGUGAGUAACACGUAGGUAAUCUACCUUCGGGUGGGGAAUAACGUCUCGAAAGAGACGCUAAUACCGCAUAAUGCAGCAGCACCUAAUGGUGAUUAGUUGUUAAAGCGGGGGAUCUUCGGACCUCGCGCCUGAAGAGGAGCCUGCGGCAGAUAGCUAGUUGGUGAGGUAAUGGCUCACCAAGGCUUCGAUCUGUAGCUGGUCUGAGAGGACGGCCAGCCACACUGGCACUGACACACGGGCCAGACUCCUACGGGAGGCAGCAGUGGGGAAUAUUGCGCAAUGGGCGAAAGCCUGACGCAGCGACGCCGCGUGAGGGAUGAC
rnacentral:rRNA from 1 species